UUGUUGUUGACUGGAAGCUCCUGUCACCUAGACAAAUUCCUUGUAUGUGUAAGCAUACUUGGCAAUAAAGCUGAUUCUGAUUCUGAUUCUGAAGAUGAGGCAGCCUGCACUCUGGAAUUCAUUCAGAGGUGCUUCAUUGGUAUAAAUCCAGAGGGAGGGACAAAGGCCAAAAGGGGCAAGGUUGUCUCCAAGAAGAAAGGUGUGGUCGUCCAGAAGAAGUCUUCUGCAGUCAAUACACACGUCGCCAUGCUACUGAAGAAUCUCCUUGACUUUGAAUGGAACUUCAUAUAGAUCGUGGCAACACUGGAAUAAUGCUGCAGAGAGGAGCAGCGGCUACCAAAGUGAUGGUCAUCUCUCCUGGAUCCACAAGUACUAAGACGUAUAAACACACGCCUACCUCACAGGACUAUUUUAUGAGGUCCAUCCUCUGCAGACGAGGAGCACUUCCCAGCACCGGCAUCCACUGAUCCUGCUGUUCCUUCCAUAUCUGUUUCAACCUCAGCGGCCCCAUUGCAACUUCCAGCCUACACCAUGGAUCAGCAGCUCCUCCAGUUGACCCGGCUGAGUGGUCAUCUAUCCUGUCCGACUCAGAAAGGACUGAUCUGGUAAGCAGAGGGCCACUGCCUAUAAAGGAAAACAUCCCAUUCCCUGAAAAACCUGAUGGCCGAAGCUUCCACUACACCUACAGAAAAGUAAUUAAUGGGGAGAAAAUGUAAGUGGAGCUGGCUCACUUAUUCAAAACAGCUUCUGCUGCAAAUUGUUCUCUAGGAAGUCCACAAAACUGGUAACGGAGGGAUAACAAGAUUGGGUAAAUAUAGGUGUGCUACUGUUACAAUUAAAACAAUAGAAGGGUAAAAUCAUGCCAGGCAGACAUUGGUAUGUUGUAAGCAACACAGCUACAACUAAUACAAUUGAUAAGGGGUGUGUUACAAUUACAGUGUGCGAAUAAUCAAGCAUUGACAAUAUUCAAUCAUAUUGGCGGCACCGAGGGGCCCCCAAAUCUAAUUUGCCCUGCUGGAACCAUUAAGGAACCGGAAUUGUUAUUCCUUAUGAUUCCCAUCCCUAGGUGGGACUGAUACAUAUAUCAAUUACGUGCAGAGGCUGCGCUCUAGAGGCGGCCUUGCGUAUUGCACGCAUAAAUGCAUGGGAUCUGUGGCAUUUUUCACUUUAUAAACACAGUAGAUUAAAAAAUACAGUUUUCACUGCCUCAAUUGUUCAUCAAUUAGAGCUUCAUA